UGCUCCCCACUCUCCCGUCUUGCCGCCGCCGGCUGCUUAGCAAGUCACGAGUUGUGUCGCACACUCGCACUUCUACAAUCCCAUAGCACCACGCUCGUGGUCCUUCUUGCUCGCAAGUUCCAGAUCGAGAGCCGCACUCCCUCCUUUUGCAGUCUUUCUCACGCAUGCAGCAUGCGUUCUAGAUUAAGAGCCGCACUCCCUCCCUCUUGUAGCGUGCAUCCUUGAACGCUUGUCCAUGAUUGGCUAAAGGAAGAGGAAAGAAACAUAGAAAUACUGGUCCUUCAACUCUCAUCUGAGAUUGGAUAAGGAUUAAAUCUUUGGAGGAAAGAAGCACAGCACUGGUGUCCACCUUGUAUUUUUUUUGAUACUACAAUUGUUUGUAGGCAAUUUGGACAUGGGAACUUCUACUUUCUCGAUUUGCAAUCAAGCAAUUGGCCUCGCCGUUGCCGCCCUUCUCCAGAUAUGACAAGCACACGGUCAUGCCCACGGGCAAGGAGCACCCUCGGGGUAGCGUUUGUGUUCAAUUUUUCAUUUUACCUGUAUGGUUGUUGGCCUCUGAUUUGCUAUAUAUUUGGUGUCCAUCUGGAGUAUAUUUGUGAUGAUCUUGAUUUGAUAUUGUACUCACUACAAGAAAUGCAUGAUUUUUUGACAUAUUCAGUAUGACAAUAGACCAUAUCAUUCAGAUUAUGACAUUCUGUAAUAGGUCAUUAUAUCAUUCAGAUUAUGACAUUCUGUAAUAGGC
rnacentral:lncRNA from 1 species